rnacentral:ribozyme from 14 species
CAUAAAAAGAAAGAAAGAGUCACAACUCCACCAACAGCAUACACAUACCAAUACAUAUUUUUUUUCUUCCGACGUCGCCAUUCUUUUUUCCUCUUCAUCUUUUUUCUUCUCUUUUUUCAAUUUGUUCACUUU